AAGUCCCUGCUGUGUUCGUGAUAAGCCGGUUGAUUUUGGCCCAACACCAAAAUUAAGGGAGCCUGGCCUCUGAGUGUAGCUUGCAGGCCCUCGUUAGAAGGGACGUAAAAAACAUUCAGGAGGGCACCCACCUGCAGGGGAAGCAGGUUCAAAAUAGCCGGUGUGACACGACUCGGUGGGGCUUUU
rnacentral:other from 1 species